rnacentral:rRNA from 1 species
AGAGUUUGAUCCUGGCUCAGAACGUACGCUGGCGGCACGCCUAAUACAUGCAAGUCGAACGAAGUAGCAAUACUUAGUGGCAGACGGGUGAGUAACAUGUAGGUAUCUACCCUUUGGCCUGGAAUAACACGAGGAAACUUGUGCUAAUACCGGAUAAGUCUUUACGGAGAAAGCUUUAUGCACCAUUGGAUGAGCCUGCACUUGAUUAGUUUGUUGGUGGGGUAAUGGCCUACCAAGACAAUGAUCAAUAGCUGAUUUGAGAGGAUGAUCAGCCACAUUGGGACUGAGACACGGCCCAAACUCCUACGGGAGGCAGCAGUAGGGAAUCUUGCACAAUGGAGGAAACUCUGAUGCAGCGAUGCCGCGUGAGUGAAGAAGGCCUUUGGGUUGUAAAGCUCUUUCGUCGGGGAAGAAAAUGACUGUACCCGAAUAAGAAGGUCCGGCUAACUUCGUGCCAGCAGCCGCGGUAAUACGAAGGGACCUAGCGUAGUUCGGAAUUACUGGGCUUAAAGAGUUCGUAGGUGGUUAAAAAAGUUGGUGGUGAAAUCCCAGAGCUUAACUCUGGUACUGCCAUCAAAACUUUUUAGCUAGAGUAUGAUAGAGGAAAGCAGAAUUUCUAGUGUAGAGGUGAAAUUCGUAGAUAUUAGGAAGAAUACCGAUUGCGAAGGCAGCUUUCUGGAUCAUUACUGACACUGAGGAAUGAAAGCAUGGGUAGCGAAGAGGAUUAGAUACCCUCGUAGU